rnacentral:rRNA from 1 species
UACGUAGGGGGCAAGCGUUGUCCGGAAUUAUUGGGCGUAAAGCGCGCGCAGGCGGUUCUUUAAGUCUGGAGUUUAAACUUAGGGCUCAACCUUAAGUCGCUCUGGAAACUGGGGAACUGGAGUGUAGGAGAGGAAAGUGGAAUUCCACGUGUAGCGGUGAAAUGCGUAGAGAUGUGGAGGAACACCAGUGGCGAAGGCGACUUUCUG